rnacentral:snRNA from 2 species
AUACUUACCUGGCAGGGGAGACACCAUGAUCAUGAAGGUGGUUUUCCCAGGGUGAGGCUCAUCCAUUGCACUGCGGGUGUGCUGACCCCUGCGAUUUCCCCAAAUGCGGGAAACUCGACUGCAUAAUUUGUGGUAGUGGGGGACUGCGUUCGCGCUUUCCCCUG